rnacentral:piRNA from 1 species
UGGAGCCCAGGUACUUUGUGGUGUA